UACGUAGGGGGCAAGCGUUGUCCGGAAUCAUUGGGCGUAAAGAGCGUGUAGGCGGCUCGAUAAGUCUGUUCUGAAAGUCCAGGGCUCAACCCUGGGAUGCGGAUGGAUACUGUCGAGCUCGAGUCCGGAAGAGGCGAGUGGAAUUCCUGGUGUAGCGGUGAAAUGCGCAGAUAUCGGGAGGAACACCAAUGGCGAAGGCAGCUCGCUGGGACGUGACUGACGCUGAGACGCGAAAGCGUGGGGAGCAAACAGG
rnacentral:rRNA from 1 species